rnacentral:rRNA from 1 species
GCGAAGAAGGGCUAGGGAUUGUAAAGCACUUUAAGUUGGGAGGAAGGGCAGCAAAUUAAUACUUUGCUGUUUUGACGUUACCGACAGAAUAAGCACCGGCUAACUCUGUGCCAGCAGCCGCGGUAAUACAGUGCCAGCAC